rnacentral:rRNA from 1 species
GACGAACGCUGGCGGCGUGCUUAACACAUGCAAGUCGUACGGUAAGGCCCUUUCGGGGGUACACGAGUGGCGAACGGGUGAGUAACACGUGAGUAACCUGCCCACAACUUUGGGAUAACGCUAGGAAACUGGAGCUAAAACUGGAUAUGUGCUCCUGCUGCAUGGUGGGGGGUGGAAAGCUCCGGCGGUUGUGGAUGGACUCGCGGCCUAUCAGCUUGUUGGUGGGGGAGUGGCCUACCAAGGCGGCGGCGGGUAGCCGGCCUGAGAGGGUGACCGGCCACAUUGGGACUGAGAUACGGCCCAGACGCCUACGGGAGGCAGCAGUGGGGAAUAUUGCACCAUGGGCGCCAGCCUGAUGCAGCAACGCCGCGUGCGGGAUGACGGCCUUCGGGUUGUAAACCGCUUUCAGCAGGGACGAAGCUUUUUGUGACGGUACCUGCAGAAGAAGCACCGGCUAACUACGUG